AGAAGAGAAAGAGAAUAUUUCAGAAAUGAGAGAUUUUUUGAUUAUUAAUGAUCUUGGAAUGAUCCCUCUUUACAAAUAAGUUCCUAUUCAUACUUCUUUUGAUCCUAUAAGUGCUCUCUCCAGUUACAGCUGACUGGAGAGCAAUUACAGUUGACUAGUACCAUAGAAUCUCCCAAUUUUUUACUGCUGGACUAUUCCACUAACUGCAUUACUCCUUACUAACUUAUUGGUUCACUUUUAUUUUAUUUUGUAAAUCAAACAACUUUCUUUCAGUGUUUGGAAAAUAUGAGACAAAAUGUUGACAAACUAAAUCCAAACCAAAAUGAUUUGUGCAAUCUAAUAUAUAGCAAACCCAAAAAUCCAUCAUCAAAAUCCAAGUGAGAUGCUUAUUCUCCAUUCAACCCAGUGUUAUCAAAGGCGAGCGA
rnacentral:misc_RNA from 1 species